AUGUUGAUGUUUUCAGCUGUACAGUGGACACACUGCCUUGGUACCUUAGAGAGCCCUCGAACAGACCAGCCCCAGCACUUGAACAGAGCAUUCCUCUUCAGGGGACGAAAACCAUGGUCCAGAUCAAGAAGCAUAAACGAGGAAAUUGAAAAUCCCGCAUUGUUCUAUUUCCGAGUGAAAAGCUUUGACUCACCACUAGAGGGCACUAUUCACCCUCUCAUCUUUCUGAAGGUUUCAGCCCAGCAGGGCUCGUUUUCAAAUGAAAAUAACUGCAUUUACUAAGAUAUUUACUAGGAGUCUGCAAUUUUAUUCAAGUUGUAGCAGUUCCAUAGAGUAACAGCUUGAGAAGGAGCAUGGUGAGUGUGUGAGAAGGUUUCUGGAUGUCAGCAAGUAGUCAGUGUGGCACAAGGGAACAGUGUCAAGACCCUGGAGUUGGACAGACCCCCUGUUCAGAGCCAAACUCGAGGCUGGACCUGCACGAAACCUUGGAAUAUUGCUUAACUUCUCUUUGUAUGGGUUUCCUUAUGUAUUUAAUGGUGAGCUCCCUAGUCUUGUCAACAGCAGAGAUGCUAAAAUCAGACUGUGUACUUUUAACUUCAGGCAUACGUCAGAGAUAUUGCGGAUUCACUUCAAGAUGGCUGCAAUAAAGUGAAUAUCACAAAAAAGUGAGUUGCAGGAAUGUUUUGGUUUCCCUGUGUAUGUAAAAGUUAUAUUUAUACUAUACUAUAUUCUUUUAAGUGUGCAAUAGCAUUAUGUUGAAAAAGUACAUACUUGCAUGUACAUAUUCGUGUCUGACUUUUGCAACCCCAUGGACUGUAGCCUGGCUAAUCUGCCAGGCUCCUCUGUCCAUGGGAUUUCACAGGCAAGAAUACUGGAGUGGGUUGCCAUUUCCUGCUCCAGGGAAUCUUCCUGACCCAGGGAUCAAACCUGCAUCACUUGUGUCUCCAGUAUUAGCAGGCCAAUUCUGUAACUGAGCCACCAGGAAAGUCUCCUUAAUCCCCCCAAAAGUACACACCUUAUUUUAAAAGUACUUUAUUUAAAAAGAACCUCUUUGAAUUGAAAAAUACUUUAUUGCUAAAGAAUGCCAAAACAAUUACAAUAAUAGCAUCAAAGAUCACUUAUCAGAAAACAUCAUCAUAAAUAUAAUAAUAAAAUGUUUUAAAUAUUGAGAGAAUUACUAGAAUGUGACACAGAGACAUGAAGUGAGCAAAUGCUGUCAGAAACAUGGCACCAACAGACUUGAUCAACAAAGGGUUGCACAAACCUUCAAUUUGUAUAUAUAAAAAAAGACAGUAUCUAGGAAACACAAUAAAGCACAAUAAAAUGAGAUAUACCUGACUUGUGCAAUAUUAGUCAGGUGCCUUAACCAUGCCAGGCUUCCAAUUUGUCCACUAAAAAUAUGAUUGAGUGUUAUCAUAUAUUUUAAGAAGUCUUAGCAUAAUUUGUAGCCCACAGUAGGUGGUCAGUGAAUGAUAGGAGUCAUCAUCAUCACCAUCAUCAUCAGAUAGCUAAUAUGCCAUUACUAAAAGUAUUUAAUCAGUGGCUAACUGGCUACUUUUAGGUGAUAUCUAGAAUAUCCAUUAAGACAGUAUUAGUUUGAUUUAGAUUACCUCUUUUGUGGUGCUGUGAAUAAUAUUCCAAUAGUAAAACUAUGUUUAAU
ensembl:lncRNA